rnacentral:lncRNA from 1 species
UUGAUGGAGGAGGAGGACGCAGCCCGUCCCCUGGGUAGUUGAUGGAGGAGGGCGCAGUACGGUUGCUGAUCCCGUUAACUGUUUCAGGGGGUGUUUUAACGUCACGGAAUGAGAUCAAAUGUCCACCUCGCAGGUUGUGUAGAGAUGCAAGCAGGAGACUCUUGAGUGAGUGUUCUGGGGCCUGCGGAUAUACUGGGUGAGGGGAGUGCUGGUGCUGAGUUGGGCCAAGAGCCCGUGGGCGUGGGCUGUGCACCGGGUGAGGGGCUGAGGCGUGUCCGCAGCAGUACCUGGUGGUCGACCCCUUCUCCUGGCUGUGUGGUUGCCUGCCCUGCCUCUGCCUCUCAGAAUGUGAGUCUUCCGGGCUCCAGGGACAGGGUUGCCUGUGGACGGCACCUGUGCCUCUCCACGUCUGAGCUCUCAGGCGUCUGGGGUGCGCGGCUGCCCUUUUCCCCAGGUCCGUGCCAGGUGUGGUGGGGUCAGUGGUGUGGCUCAUGGGAAUCGGGAGUGGAUCCUCGCUGGGCUCUCAGGCGCCUCGGGCACGUAGCUGCCCUUGUCCCCAGGCCCCUGCUCGGUGUGGUGGGGGCUCAGUGGCGCAGAGCAGCCACCCAGAGUGGGGUCCGUGGCAGCAUGGUGUGGCCUCCUGGGUGGAGGUGGCCCCUGCAGUGGAGUACGUGUGUGGUCCCCCGCAGGGAUUGCAGUGUGUCCUCUCCCAGCUGGGAUCAGGUGGCCUCAGCACCGUCGGCCCUAGAGAGGCCCCGUGUAUUGUCCGGGUGAAGAAGGCGUUCGAUGCUCCCAGGUUCUAACUGAGCGCUGUCUGUCGACUCUUCAGGUUCAGACGCGGAAAGAAGAGCCUCUGCCCCCGGCUACGAGCCAAAGCAUUCCGACCUUCUACUUCCCCAGAGGACGCCCGCAGGACUCCGUCAACGUGGAUGCCGUCAUCAGCAAGAUCGAGAGCACCUUCGCCCGGUUCCCCCACGAGAGGGCCACCAUGGACGACAUGGGCCUGGUGGCCAAGGUUCAGACGCGGAAAGAAGAGCCUCUGCCCCCGGCCACGAGCCAAAGCAUUCCGACCUUCUACUUCCCCAGAGGACACCCGCAGGACUCCAUCAACGUGGAUGCCGUCAUCAGCAAGAUCGAGAGCACCUUCGCCCGGUUCCCCCACGAGAGGGCCACCAUGGACGACAUGGGCCUGGUGCACAAGGCCUGCGGCUGCCCCCUCUACUGGAAGGGGCCGCUCUUCUAUGGCGCCGGCGGGGAGCGCACGGGCUCCGUGUCCGUCCACAAGUUCGUCGCCAUGUGGAGAAAGUGAGUCCUGGGCUGGGCAGGGGGCUGUGUCGGGAGGGCGGAGGCGUCCCCGGGUCCCCGUGGUGCCAGGACGGGUGCCCCCUGAGGCUGCCGCAGUGAGAGGAGAAACCCUUGUACGGGCACAGGCCUGGCCGUCGUGUGUGGCCACCUGUCACGCACCACGUGGAACACCACACACGUGUUCCACCCUGCGUCUGCGGGGUCGAAAGCCACCCCCCGUGAGGGUGGCGCCCAGUCAUCCUGUCCUUCCAGAAUCCUCCAGAACUGCCACGACGACGCGGCCAAGUUCGUCCAUCUGCUCAUGAG